CGGAUUGUAGUCUGCAACCCGACUACAUGAAGCCGGAAUCGCUAGUAAUCGCGGAUCAGAAUGCCGCGGUGAAUACGUUCCCGGGUCUUGUACACACCGCCCGUCACACCAUGGGAGUUGGAAAUGCCCGAAGUCAGUGGCCCAACCGGAAGGGGGGAGCUGCCGAAGGCAGGUUCGAUGACUGGGGUGAAGUCGUAACAAGGUAUC
rnacentral:rRNA from 1 species